CUACGGGAGGCUCCAGUGGGGAAUAUUGCACAAUGGGGGAAACCCUGAUGCAGCAACGCCGCGUGGAGGAUGACGCAUUUCGGUGUGUAAACUCCUUUUAUAUCCCAAGAUAAUGACGGUAGGAUAUGAAUAAGCACCGGCUAACUCCGUGCCAGCAGCCGCGGUAAUACGGAGGGUGCAAGCGUUACUCGGAAUCACUGGGCGUAAAGGGCGCGUAGGCGGGUUGUCAAGUCUUGAGUGAAAUCCAACGGCUCAACCGUUGAACUGCUUGAGAAACUGGCAGCCUAGAGUAAGGGAGAGGUAGAUGGAAUUGGUGGUGUAGGGGUAAAAUCCGUAGAGAUCACCAGGAAUACCCAUUGCGAAGGCGAUCUGCUGGAACUUUACUGACGCUGAGGCGCGAAAGCGUGGGGAGCAAACAGGAUUAGAUACCCGGGUAGUC
rnacentral:rRNA from 1 species